rnacentral:lncRNA from 1 species
CCUCGGGGAUGACGGCGCCGCCACUCUGUGCGAGGCCCUGGCGUGCCCCAGCUGCCACCUGCAUGUCCUGGAGUGAGAGCGCCUGUCCUGGGGCUGGAGCGCUGCCUCCUCACCUCUGCUGGCUGCCUUGCCCUGGCCGGCUGUGCCGGGCACCAACCUGGAGCUGAGGCACCUGGACGUGAGCGGGAACGAUGUUGGGGAGCGGGGCCAGCAGGCCUUGGUCAGCGGCCACCGCGCAGGCAUGCAACGUUGUCCUCCGGGAGAAGGAGCACGGAGGGCUGGACGUGCUGGCCAGGCUGGCAGGCCCCGCCCCUGAGCGGGGCGUCCUGAGCAUCGUCAAGGACUGGGACCAGUAGGGCCAGGCAGGAG